rnacentral:rRNA from 1 species
UACGUAGGGUCCGAGCGUUGUCCGGAAUUAUUGGGCGUAAAGGGCUCGUAGGCGGUCUGUCGCGUCGGGAGUGAAAACUUACAGCUUAACUGUGAGCGUGCUUCCGAUACGGGCAGACUUGAGGUAUUCAGGGGAGAACGGAAUUCCUGGUGUAGCGGUGAAAUGCGCAGAUAUCAGGAGGAACACCGGUGGCGAAGGCGGGUCUCUGGGCAGUAACUGACGCUGAGGAGCGAAAGCGUGGGGAGCGAACAGG